rnacentral:rRNA from 1 species
GGAAGCCCACCUCAAGAUGAGUACUCUCACUACAUAAGUAGGUAAGGUCACGGGCAGAACACCCGUUAAUAGGAUGUAGAUGGAAGCUCAGUAAUGAGUGCAGUCGAGCAUUACUAACAGACCGAGGGCUUGACCUC